AAUGCGACCUGGGAGACCCGGGUCCCCCCAGACCUGCUGCGGGCCAUCUGGGCGCGUCAGGCGGGUCUGGGAUGCUUCUAUUCCUGCCUGUUAGAGGUGGGCUUCUGUGCAGGUUAGGUGUAGGGUUCCGAUGUUAGACGUAAAAGUUCCUCCAGCAGGUCGGGGGGAGGGUGUGUCACUGAUACACAGCAUUAUUACUGCUUUUGUGGAGUCUUGCCAUUUGAUCAUUAGGGGCCUGGGGCUCCAAGGUUUAAUUCUGAGAUAAGUCUGUGGAUUAUACAAGCACAUUCUUUGCAUACAGAGAUUCUUGCUUACUCAGAAUCAUAGACUAAUAGGGGCCGAGAAGACCUCAGAGGUCAUUCCACCCCACCUCCCACCCAAAUGCAAAAUCCCUCCCCCGAAGCCUCGGAGCCCAGGCAGCUUCCUGUGCGGCGUACAGUCACUGGCUUUCGCCGGGCGCCUCAGGUUGAGGGGCUGGUUCUCCUUUUUCACCCUAAGUUCUCCAGACCAAGAGGAGCGCCCACAGCGGGUGCUCAGUGAGUGUGACGGCUCAUGCCCUCCAGGCUGCCCUGAGAGCCCCAGCAGUGAGGCGCUCCUCGCGGUGUCCUGGCGGCUGCGGCCCUCUGGCCUCCUGACGCUCUCCCACGCCCGGCUGCAGACAGUCGCCUCCAGUCCCAACCCUUCAGUGCUGCCUUUGGGGUCCUGUGGGAUAAGGCUGCUUCCUUUCGCCCAGGAAAGCUCAUCUUGUCUUCACCACCUUCACCCUCAGCCUUCCUGCUUCCUAAACCUCUUCACUGUGGUCUCUUCUCUGAACAGACUCCAAUCUGUGUACCUACAGGCAUUACGAGCGCUUUCUGUCUGUCAACCUGCCUUCUUCCAUCAAGUCUGAAACACAAACCUGGGAGAUGUGGGUCAUUAUCCCUGCUUCACUUAGGACGGAACUGAGGUCCGAUUCUUCAAAUGUGCAAUCCUGGGGCCCCCCCAAGGCACGUGGGCCAGGUCCAGCUGGUGACUCAGAGAGGGCAGCUGCAGGCUCGUGGCUAAGAGCACCUGGCGUGGAUUCUGUGGCAAGGCGGCCAAGCGGGGCUGAUUCUGGAUGAGUGCCGGAUGCGCCCCGUGUCACCUGUGCAUGACGGCCACAGCAGGUGACCCAGCCAAGGAGGUUCCUGUCCCUGGGAAGGCACAGGAGCCUGGAUGUCAGACACGCUUGGUGGCUGCUAGCGCCGUGGACCGGGAACGCACGCUCCCCACGGGACGUCUCCACGAGAGGCCCUCCUGGGCACCCCAAGUAAACAAACGCUUAAGGGAAACUUCUGCGCUUGUCAGGCCCCAGGACCCACAGAGGAGACAUUGCACAUGGGAUAUCCAGGGUGACUGAUCCAUAAUCCUACCUACUGAGAUCUGCACUCCGGAUGGACUGCCACCCCACUGAGAUCUGCACUCCGGAUGGACUGCCAACACCCUGUCCACUGAGCCGGGCCAUGAACAGCCUCCGGAUCCACUAGGUGGCAGAAGGCACACGGGGCCAAAAUGAGGCCAUGUGGAUGCCAGCCAGUGGGUUGCUGACUUAGGGUGACACAGCUGUCUGCCAAGAGGGGGCACGAUCCUGGCUUCUUUCUACCACUUUUACCUAUGUGCAGUGUAGUCACUCGAUGGCUGUAUAUAUCACUAGGUGCUUGCCACAGGAGUGUGGUCACCCCAAGACACAGGUAAACCGCACCACGGAGAGAAAUCUUGUCUGUAUCCUGAGAGGCUACAGAGAGUGGAAGGUGCUCGAAGUUGCUUGAGGUUCCAGCAGAAGUCCAAGGAAGCAUCCCUGCUCCUUGAGGAGUUUGUCUCUCUCAUCUCUGUGCAGGCGGCACCAGUGGAGAUUCUUAGUGGUCUCAUCCAAGCCAGAGUUCAUUCGCACAUAGGAAGCUAAGAAAGGAAGAGAAAUAAGAACAUAGGAUUUUCUCCUUUCUUUUCCCUGAAUCCUUAGAGAUUGUUGUAUCACCAGUUUGUCGUUAGCUCUUCUUUCCUGGUGGAGGGACCAGGGAGGGAGGACCAUGGGGUGAGUCCCAGAGCACCAGCUGAGGCUCAUUCGUUCACCAGACACAAGUGGUGGGCAGGUUCGUGGGAGAACCCUGCCCCUCUUGAUGGUCUGACUAUUAUGAACCCCUAAACUCCCGCCCUUCUCUGGAAAUCCAGACCCAACUCGGAUUGUUCUAGUUAGGUUCUUCUAAGUGAGAGAGGAUGUCAGCAAAAGAUGGCCUAGAGAAAGGGUCUCCUGGUGUGGGCGGAGGUGUUUUCUGGGCUGAGAAUUCUCUCACCGAAUCCUUCCUCUUUGCUCUCUCCCAGUUAGAGCCUGGGCAGGUGUUUGGAGGUCCCAAGGGCAAGGGGGAAUUUCCUUUCUCCUCCUGCUCUUUAAUGGUCAUCGAAUCACAAGAAAAUACUCCGGGACUUUCCUCAUCCCUUGGCGGCCCUCUGCCUUCUCGAUUUCAAAUUCAGCCUUCAAAUGUGUGCACUUAGCCCCCGCCUCCCGCCCCGGAUCUGAGAAGGCUGGGGGUCAGGCUCUAGCCCUUCAGCCCGUGGGGGCCUCCGCGUGUGUGAGAAAGAUUCUCUCCUGGCGAAACUUCGGCACCUGAGGGGCAGUGGAGCCGCCGGGGACUGUGCGUGCGUGUCCCUGAGCCCCAGAUCCACGUGUGGAGAUCCUGACUUCAGUGGUGGGGCCUUCGGGAGGUGAGGAGUUCAUGAGGCUGGAGCCUCCCCCUCAGAAGGGCCUGGAGAACAAGCAGGCCCGCUCCCCACGUGAGGAUGCAGUGGGGGCAGCCCUCCCCGGGCCAGGGAGACAGCCCAGCGGGGACAGGUCGGUGCCGCGGCCUCAGACUCCAGCCUCUGGAACUGAGACGGAAGUUUCUUCCAUGCCACCCGGCCUGGCGACCUGCAGGGACAGAGACAGAACCCAGGUGCCCCCGCUGGGCAGCCCCAGCCCGUGCUGCCCCCUGCCGCCUGCAUGCCAGUCUGCGAGCUGUCGUCCCGGGCUCCCAGCUGACGGUCGCAUUCUGUGGACAGGCUGCACGAGUGCUGGCUCCUCGGGGGUCGGCGACUGCGUCCUGCCCUCCAGCCAUGAAGAUCGCUCUCGGCUGGUGGUCCUGAGUGACUGUCGCUUUUCACUGGGAGUCACUUUAAUGGGGAGGCCUGCUUGCUGCUUCCCGUCACUUGGCCUCAGCACCUCUGGGGUCAUGAAUUCUCCUUUGUCUUGUCUGGUGCUCCUGGCAUAUCAAUCCUUUCCAGU